rnacentral:rRNA from 1 species
AGAGUUUGAUCAUGGCUCAGAACGAACGCUGGCGGCAUGGAUUAGGCAUGCAAGUUGAACGAACCACUUCGGUGGAGAGUAGCGGAAGGGUGAGUAACGCGUGGGUAACCUGCCUCAUACAGGGGGAUAACAGUUAGAAAUGACUGCUAAUACCGCAUAAGACCCCAGCUUCGCAUGAAGCGGUGGUAAAAACUCCGG